GAUGAACGCUGGCGGCGUGCCUAAUACAUGCAAGUCGAGCGAACAGAUGAGGAGCUUGCUCCUCUGACGUUAGCGGCGGACGGGUGAGUAACACGUGGAUAACCUACCUAUAAGACUGGGAUAACUUCGGGAAACCGGAGCUAAUACCGGAUAAUAUAUUGAACCGCAUGGUUCAAUAGUGAAAGACGGUUUUGCUGUCACUUCUAGAUGGAUCCGCGCCGCAUUAGCUAGUUGGUAAGGUAACGGCUUACCAAGGCAACGAUGCGUAGCCGACCUGAGAGGGUGAUCGGCCACACUGGAACGGAGACACGGUCCAGACUCCUACGGGAGGCAGCAGUAGGGAAUCUGACGCAAUGGGCGAAAGCCUGACGGAGCAACGCCGCGUGAGUGAUGAAGGUCUUCGGAUCGUAAAACUCGGUUAUUAGGGAAGAACAAAUGUGUAAGUAACUAUGCACGUCUUGACGGUACCUAAUCAGAAAGCCACGGCUAACUACGUG
rnacentral:rRNA from 1 species